rfam:Equus caballus chromosome 7, whole genome shotgun sequence.
GUGGGUUAUGGGGACAUGAAGCCCAUCACUGUGGGGGGCAAGAUCGUGGGGUCCCUGUGCGCCAUUGCGGGUGUCCUGACCAUCGCUUUGCCUGUGCCCGUCAUUGUCUCUAAC